GCCCAGCUGAUACCCAAAGGCCAUACUUCAGCAGAUGCGCCUGAUCAGAGCAGCGGAGACGUGAUUCAUGCCAGAUUUCACACUAUGCUGGCCCACCAUCCGAGACGCGACCUUGGCACCUGGUGCCCCUGUUUUGCUCAGGUGAGAAGCCUCUUUGGCACGAGCUUGGGAGAGCUGAUCUGGGCGGCAGGAGGUUCCCUGGUCCCUUGCCCAGCUUCCAGCUGCGGAUGCUGUACGCCUGUGAAGGGCAAUUGCAUCUUGAGCUGAGCAACCAAAGGAAGCCAUUAUCUCUACAAGAG